rnacentral:tRNA from 1 species
GCUGCGGUGGUCUAGCGGUUAGAACGCUGGCCUUGUAAUCCUGGGGUCUCGGGUUCGAUUCCCGGCGGUGCCC